AGACGUCUACAUUAGAUACCCCGGUAGUCCCAGCCGUAAACGAUGCGCGUUAGGUGUAUCGACGACCACGAGUCGUCGAGGUGCCGAAGGGAAACCGUGAAACGUGCCGCCUGGGAAGUACGGUCGCAAGGCUGAAACUUAAAGGAAUUGGCGGGGAGCACCACAACAGGUGGAGCCUGCGGUUUAAUUGGACUCAACGCCGGAAAUCUCACCGGAUAAGACAGCAGAAUGAUUGCCGGGCUGAAGACUCUGCAUGACUAGCUG
rnacentral:rRNA from 1 species